rnacentral:lncRNA from 1 species
AAGGAGAUACAGUCUUGUAAACGGCCGAAGCUUGAUCAUCCUCUUCCACACUCAGCUUCCAGAACUCUGAAAAUCUGUCAGAACAACCGACCUCUUUGAUAGUGUGAUCUUAAAUCUCCCUCCAUUCAUGUGUGCAUAUAUACAGUCAUACAUGCAUAGAUACAUACAUUCAUUCAUCCAUACAUUCAUAUAUGCAUACAUGCAUACAACAUACAUUCAUGUGUGCAUCUAUACCUACAUUCAUGCAUAUUUACUUUCUUGAUUCAUUGAUUGCUUCUUUACUUACAUUGUUUUCUUGCUUUCUUCGUUGCUUCUUUUGCUUCUUUUUCUUCGUUGUUUCUUUCUUGUUUUUUUUUCUCUGUUUGCUUACAUGUUUAACUUGUUUACUUCUUGUUUGUUUCUUUGAUUAUUUGAUCGUUGCUCACUUUAUAUUGCUUCAUUCAUUUCUUAAUUUGUGUGCAUGCUUGCUUCUUGGUUCUUUGAUUUUUUUCUUUAUUUUCUUCCUUAAUUGUUUGCUCGAGCCAUACAUGCAAUUAACUUGUUUACGUAUUGUCGCUUUCUUUAUUUCUUUGAUUGUUUGAUAUAUUCGCUUACUCAACUGAUUCAUUCGUUGCUCAACUCUUUUACAUGUUUACUUCUUUGAUUCUUUGUUUCUUUACUUCUCUCAUUGUUUUCUUACAUGCUUACUUACUUUUUUAUUGCUUCUUACAUUUUUUGUAUACUCGCUUCCUUCUUUGCUCACUUCAUUGCUUCUAUUUAGUUCU